AUAGAAUAAAAUACUUAUUCCAGCUAGUUACACGACAUGUACGAUAGAUGACAGAUACAACAAAUUGGACAAUGGUCAGGUCCAAAUAAAUUAAUGAAAGAAACAUGCAAAAAGAAAUGGUACUGGUUUCCUAUAAUGAAGAGCAAUGAUAAGAAGCAUGCAUUCGAUCUGUUAACUUUCUUGAUCCAUACAAAUUUACAGAUACAGAUAAAUGAAGUUGAGCAUGAGGGAUUUGAACCUUCAAGUUGCAGUUGGCUAGUCCAUUUAUCCACAGAGAUAUAGCUAAAUGGUUGAAGUAUGGCUGCCAGUUGGGCUCCUGAGAAUUUGGUGUAUUUUUUAUGCAUCAGAUACAUGUACAUGAUGCUAAUAGGGCCAAGAUACUGCAACAUAGAGAAGAUUUCAGCAAACGUCUUACCGAUUUCUUAAAUUCUGAAUAAUUUCAUUCAAACAUAGCUUAAAGCUUUACCCCCAUACACAAUGUUGUAUGAAAUUUGUUUAAUUGAGUUCUCAUGAACCAUAACCUACAUGCUUCCAUCUACAUGUAAAUUGGAACAUUUCAUUUGCAAUUUCCACAACAUUGCAGAAGUUUCCAUUGGGUUACAAUGGUUAAGUUGUUUUUCCCUCACUUACACAACUGAAACCAAGAAGCUGUUCUUUUCGGAAAGUCAUUUAAUUGCCACUCAUCUUUAACAUAAUGAUCAACACCGUUCAUUAACUCAAAAAUGCCAAACCUGCCAAAAAGAUGCUUUUAAACAGAAAUUUUCCCAGGCAAAGCCAUCACAUGUUUUCAUACUUCCUCCAAUGAGGCUCUAUCUUUUAUGCCGAAGAUAAUUACACAUUUUUUAAUCUUACUAAAGAAUGCUCAAGUAUAUAAUAAUCAUUAGCAUCCGUUAAUUGUUAAUGGGCACUUGAAAAAUACUUCAGUAGUUUUAUAUUUUCCUCCCAAGGUUUUUAUGGCAGAUUGAUUCACAAAGAUGCUUAAACCUUUAUUUAUUCCCAUGAAAAUAGCCGAGCUUCAUUCAGAGAUUUCUCAAUUUUUAAAAACUCAAUUCCAGAGUCAUUUAUGAGCCUGGUUGUUGCUCAUAAUCACAUUUCUCUUUCUAUUUCUUCAAUAUUAAUAUGUUUUUAAUGUUUAAUAAAAGAUGUAAAACAU